AUGUUCAAUUCAACAGCAUAUAUACUGAAACUGGAAUGAUACAGAGAAGAUUAACAUGGCCAUGCACGAGGAUGACAUGCAAAUACCUGAAGUGUUACGUAUUUUC
rnacentral:snRNA from 1 species